AAUGAGAACUUGUUCUCAACUAGCCUAUCUGGUUAAAUAAAGGUGAAAUAAAAAAUAAAAAAACAUGCCUGCAGUGGAGCUGGAAUGUCCUCCACCCAAUGCCAUCUGCAGUGUGUGUAGAGUUUUGGAGGAGGCUGAGCUUUGGCGCUGUGGGGAUUGUGGCUCAGAUAAAUAUUCCUGUGCCACCUGUACUGUGAGAACACACAGCACUCCCAACAUUGUACACCAGUUGGAGUUAUGGAAGUCAGGGCAGUUCGUCCCAUGUGUCCCGGUGGGCCUACAAUGGGAGUGGAAGAGACAAGGUGACCAUGACUGUCAAAGCCAGUACAACCGUCUUUUGACAGUUGUUGACGUUAGAGGACGAGCUCAUGACGUCUGGCUAAGGCUGUGAGCUGGAACCUGUCACCCUGAUCUGCCACAGACUCUACCUUUCCACCCCCCGAGAGACUGUCAGGAAGUUGGUGCCACUGACCUCGGACAGAACAAAGUGUCCUCUCUGUCCACAGGGGUGGGUGGGGAUGCGCUGUGAUCCAAACCCAAAACCCAGAAACUGGACAUAACUGGUGUGUUUAGGAUGGCGUGCAGGCACGAGCAUCCGCUGAAGUUCCUGAACCUGAAGAGAGGAGAGAAGUAUGUUGAUUGAUGCAUGUGGGUGGGUGGAUGGAUGGAUGCUUCAGAUGUGUAGCUGGUGUAGUUUAGUUAUAUAUAACAUUGGCUACAAUGACUGAUGUUGAACAGUCAUUUCCGGCUUGCAAAUGCACUAUUUUAAGGCUUGUGUAAAUGUCCUGCUUAAUAUAAUGUUUGUGUCAUCAUCACAUAUCAACUCCCUUAUAGUUAAAAAACAUUUCAACUUCAAAAUGUCUCUUUUGGCUAGCUUUUGCUACAGCCUAUGUCAAUGAGCGUUAGCAUUCUAGCUAACAAAUGCUGCAUCCAAAAUAGUUAUUUUUCAAAGAUCACAACCAAAUACAAUCUUAGUGACUGUUCAAGCAAGAAUCAAAACAUUGUAAAUGUAUGAGAAUCCCAAAAAAUUAUUUUGUUUCGAAGUAAUACAAAGUUAAAUCUAGGCUAUGUUGAAUGGGCGCAGAUGGCAAUGGCUUUCUUACUGCAGCCAAGAGUCACACGCAUUUGUGCGUGAUGCCAGUGUGUCCGGUACUGGAAAGGGGUCUAUACUGGAUGUACAGAAUACAUCCAGCAUCCAGAUCAGAGUUACAGUCCCAUACGGAACCAUUCCAUGUACACACAGCACCGCACUCACAUGGUUGAUGACUGAGCUCCUUUCGUUUUAUCUGCUGUUCUUUGUGCAAUAAUUAUGAAUGCUAUCAUAUGUAGCUUGUUAGCUGGUGUGCCAAAGGCUAUAGAUGUCAGUUACCUUGUUUUUUUGUGGGAAAGCCAAAGUUGAUUUCAAAGACAUCUAAAAAGUACCCUUUUGCCGUGAUAUUGUGUAUCUUAAUGCUAUGACCCGGUGUCGAACCAGGGAUGCUGCAGCCACAACGCAGAGUACUAACUACUAUACGAUCACAGCGAGCUACCGGGGCUUGAACGUCAGGGGGAAAUAAUGGGCUUGAAUUUUGCAAGUGAAAUCCAUGGGAAAUCAUUUUGACAUUGCAAAAAUGUGCAUUUUACAUUAAAUUCAAGAAGUGAAAUCA